rnacentral:rRNA from 1 species
UACGUAGGGGGCGAGCGUUGUCCGAAGUUACUGGGCGUAAAGCGCGCGUAGGCGGCCUCUUAAGUCUGGUGUGAAAGGUUCAGGGCUCAACCCGAACAGUGCACUGGAUACUGGAAGGCUUGAGAUCGGGAGAGGAGGGUGGAAUUCCUGGUGUAGCGGUGAAAUGCGUAGAUAUCAGGAGGAACACCGAUGGCGAAGGCAGCCCUCUGGCCCGAUACUGACGCUGAGGUGCGAAAGCGUGGGGAGCGAACGGG